GAACUGGCGGGGGGUGGGGGUGGCCAUGAUGGACAAGAUGCAGAUGCCGUGGAGAAAACUGCCCGGUGAGAAGUUUCCAACAUGGGGGAUUCACAUCACUGAUGUCAUUUGUACCUUCUCCAGGUGCUGAUCCUGAGAAUACUCCCUACCAAACUUCAGCGGCUGAUCUCCAUCUCAGAGUGUGCUUCCCAGAGAACCCAACCUGGGACACCUCCAAUGACACCACUCUCCAGAAGAGUUAGACAGAUGCCCUCAAAGGAGCCAUCCUGCUGUCCCCAGCUAUUGUUAGGAGAUGUGAAGCCACGUCUAACUCCUGCCUCGUUCUGCCUUCUCAGGCCACUCAUAAAUAGGUGGCUGAGAGAAGGGAAGGAGAAAUCAAGUCCCUGAUACUCACUGCCCAGGAAUGACCACCACGCGUCUCACAGAAAGGCGUUGGAGAUGCCAUUGUUGCCAACAUCUCAAUUAACAACAUCUUCGCUGAAAUUACUUUUCGGCCUAAAUCACUUGGAUACAAAGAAUAUUAAAUGGUUGCCUUGCUCAAAAGUA